GAUUUUUUUGACUUGCUUCCAUCUCUCUUUGUCUCCCCUAUGUCUUUAUUUAAUCCCCGUUCCACCUCCAGGUACACCCCACAGAUUGAUCCGCAGGCCAGAUCAAGUGGUGCUCAGCGUGGGGGCUCCUGGCACGGAGGAGUCAACGAGGGAGCCGGCUUAAACUGAAAGUGAAAGCAAAUUGAACCAAAGACCGCGGCGGCGAGGAGUGAGCAAACUGAAUCAAGGAUUAAAGCUAAAAGCAAUAGGACAUUAAAUCAAGUACCAAGACCUGUGCAGACGACUACCCGGGGUCCCGCCCGAGUCGUGGUGACACAACCCCCCGGAGCCUUAUGCUGCCUACUCAGCCUUCUCCUUGAGCCAUACCACACCCAUGGUGGAUUUCGACCCCUGCCAAACAGACUACAACUGCUGACAGCCCUGCACACCAUCCCCUGUGACCGUGGAAGAGGCUCUUCUCAGUCUGGGGGAACAUAAACCAGCCAAAUAGACUGCGUCCUGUGUUAUGUGAGGCAUACUCCAAGACAUAGGAGAACGACUUCAACAGAGACACCAACAAAUGGCUGCCAACCCCUUCUCCUCGAUAUGUGGUGGGGGGAGCUUUUCCCUUACCUAGCGCCCCUUUUGGGUCCCCUAGCUGCCCUAUUGCUUCUCCUUUCUGUGAGUCCUUGUAUUUUUCAGAGGAUUAUAAUGCUCAUUAAUAACCGGAUAGACGCGUUUAUGGCAAGGCCCAUUCAAGUACACUAUCAUCAGCUGGAGAUGGCAGAUCAACAAACCUACCAGGAAGGAAUUCCCACGAGUGGCCCAUAUGACGAUGCGGCCUAACUGCCCUCGGGCAAUGGACAGGCAGUCAGAGACGGGCACCUAGGACAUGCAUGUUAACUCCAACAGCCACCUAAGACAGGCACAGGACCAACUGCUGAGCCCAUGAUGGGUAAGGCCUGGUUGGGUUCAUGCAAUGAGGUCCUUGAUCUAAGACAAACGCUGUCCGGCAGGGCCUGCCAUACUCUUGAUUAAAUAAUAUAGAAAGGGAGGAGAUGCAGGGAGCCGAGCGACAGCCCAUUGCUGCCUCCCUGCCUCUCUCUCUCCUAUGGGCACUGCGUCUGCCUACAUUAACCAUGAUCCUCUCCUGCUUACGUCACAUACCCAGAUGUGACAGUGACCCUGUUGUAUUCAUCCCUUUAGCCUCUUCCUGUUCCACCUCCCGGCCUAUAAAAGAUGUGAACACUUCCUGAGUAAAUGGGGGCUUAAUUGGAUUAUCUCAA